NNGUGUUACAGCUCUUUUAGAAUUUGUCUAGUAGGCUUUCUGGCUUUUCACCGGAAAGCCCCU
rnacentral:snRNA from 10 species